GAUGAACGCUGGCGGCGUGCCUAAUACAUGCAAGUCGAGCGAACAGACGAGGAGCUUGCUCCUCUGACGUUAGCGGCGGACGGGUGAGUAACACGUGGAUAACCUACCUAUAAGACUGGGAUAACUUCGGGAAACCGGAGCUAAUACCGGAUAAUAUAUUGAACCGCAUGGUUCAAUAGUGAAAGACGGUUUUGCUGUCACUUAUAGAUGGAUCCCGGCCGCAUUAGCUAGUUGGUAAGGUAACGGGUUACCAAGGCAACGAUGCGUAGCCGACCUGAUAGGGUGAUAGGCCACACCGGAACGAAGACACGGACCAGACUCCUACGGGAGGCAGCAGUAGGGAAUCUUCCGCAAUGGGCGAAAGCCUGACGGAGCAACGCCGCGUGAGUGAUGAAGGUCUUCGGAUCGUAAAACUCUGUUAUUAGGGAAGAACAAAUGUGUAAGUAACUAUGCACGUCUUGACGGUACCUAAUCAGAAAGCCACGGCUAACUACGUG
rnacentral:rRNA from 1 species